AGGUAGGGAUACCCGCUGAACUUAAGCAUAUCAAUAAGCGGAGGAAAAGAAACCAACAGGGAUUGCCUCAGUAACGGCGAGUGAAGCGGCAAGAGCUCAAAUUUGAAAGCUGGCCCCUCCGGGGUCCGCGUUGUAAUUUGCAGAGGAUGCUUUGGGUGCGGCCCCCGUCUAAGUGCCCUGGAACGGGCCGUCAGAGAGGGUGAGAAUCCCGUCUUGGGCGGGGUGUCCGUGCCCGUGUAAAGCUCCUUCGACGAGUCGAGUUGUUUGGGAAUGCAGCUCUAAAUGGGUGGUAAAUUUCAUCUAAAGCUAAAUACUGGCCGGAGACCGAUAGCGCACAAGUAGAGUGAUCGAAAGAUGAAAAGCACUUUGAAAAGAGAGUUAAACAGCACGUGAAAUUGUUGAAAGGGAAGCGCUUGCGACCAGACUCGCCCGCGGGGUUCAGCCGGCAUUCGUGCCGGUGUACUUCCCCGUGGGCGGGCCAGCGUCGGUUUGGGCGGCCGGUCAAAGGCCCCUGGAAUGUAGUGCCCUCCGGGGCACCUUAUAGCCAGGGGUGCAAUGCGGCCAGCCCGGACCGAGGAACGCGCUUCGGCUCGGACGCUGGCAUAAUGGUCGCAAACGAC
rnacentral:rRNA from 1 species